rnacentral:rRNA from 1 species
UGGGGAAUUUUGGACAAUGGGCGAAAGCCUGAUCCAGCAAUGCCGCGUGUGUGAAGAAGGCCUUCGGGUUGUAAAGCACUUUUGUCCGGAAAGAAAUGGCUCUGGUUAAUACCUGGGGUCGAUGACGGUACCGGAAGAAUAAGGACCGGCUAACUACGUGCCAGCAGCCGCGGUAAUACGUAGGGUCCAAGCGUUAAUCGAAAUUACUGGGCGUAAAGCGUGCGCAGGCGGUUGUGCAAGACCGAUGUGAAAUCCCCGAGCUUAACUUGGGAAUUGCAUUGGUGACUGCACGGCUAGAGUGUGUCAGAGGGGGGUAGAAUUCCACGUGUAACAGUGAAAUGCGUAGAGAUGUGGAGGAAUACCGAUGGCGAAGGCAGCCCCCUGGGAUAACACUGACGCUCAUGCACGAAAGCGUCGGGAGCAAACAGG